rnacentral:rRNA from 1 species
AUUGAACGCUGGCGGCAGGCCUAACACAUGCCAGUCGAACGGUAACAGGAAACAGCUUGCUGUUUCGCUGACGAGUGGCGGACGGGUGAGUAAUGUCUGGGAAACUGCCUGAUGGAGGGGGAUAACUACUGGAAACGGUAGCUAAUACCGCAUAACGUCGCAAGACCAAAGAGGGGGACCUUCGGGCCUCUUGCCAUCGGAUGUGCCCAGAUGGGAUUAGCUAGUAGGUGGGGUAACGGCUCACCUAGGCGACGAUCCCUAGCUGGUCUGAGAGGAUGACCAGCCACACUGGAACUGAGACACGGUCCAGACUCCUACGGGAGGCAGCAGUGGGGAAUAUUGCACAAUGGGCGCAAGCCUGAUGCAGCCAUGCCGCGUGUAUGAAGAAGGCCUUCGGGUUGUAAAGUACUUUCAGCGGGGAUGAAGGGAGUAAAGUUAAUACCUUUGCUCAUUGACGUUACCCGCAGAAGAAGCACCGGCUAACUCCGU